rnacentral:rRNA from 1 species
UACGAAGGUCCCGAGCGUUGUUCGGAAUCACUGGGCGUAAAGGGAGCGUAGGCGGCGCGGUAAGUCAGAUGUGAAAUCCCGGGGCUCAACCCCGGAACUGCAUCCGAUACUGCCGUGCUAGAGGAUUGGAGAGGUAGCUGGAAUUCUUGGUGUAGCAGUGAAAUGCGUGGAGAUCAAGAGGAACACUCGUGGCGAAAGCGAGCUACUGGACAAUAUCUGACGCUGAGGC